AUUGAACGCUGGCGGCAGGCUUAACACAUGCAAGUCGAGCGGGGUGAUGGUGCUUGCACUAUCACUUAGCGGCGGACGGGUGAGUAAUGCUUAGGAAUCUGCCUAUUAGUGGGGGACAACAUCUCGAAAGGGAUGCUAAUACCGCAUACGUCCUACGGGAGAAAGCAGGGGAUCACUUGUGACCUUGCGCUAAUAGAUGAGCCUAAGUCGGAUUAGCUAGUUGGUGGGGUAAAGGCCUACCAAGGCGACGAUUUGUAGCGGGUCUGAGAGGAUGAUCCGCCACACUGGGACUGAGACACGGCCCAGACUCCUACGGGAGGCAGCAGUGGGGAAUAUUGGACAAUGGGGGGAACCCUGAUCCAGCCAUGCCGCGUGUGUGAAGAAGGCCUUAUGGUUGUAAUGCACUUUAAGCGAGGAGGAGGCUCUUUUGGUUAAUACCCAAGAUGAGUGGACGUUACUCGCAGAAUAAGCACCGGCUAACUCUGUGCCAGCCGCCGCGGUAA
rnacentral:rRNA from 1 species